rnacentral:rRNA from 1 species
AAGAAAGUAAGCAAGGGCGCAUGGCGGAUGCCUUGGCUCUCGGAGGCGAUGAAGGACGUGAUAAGCUGCGAUAAGCUUCGGGCAGGUGCAAAUAACCUUUGAUCCGAAGAUUUCCGAAUGGGACAACCCGUCAUUCUGAAGGAAUGACAUCUUGCAUAGCAAGAGGCUAACGCAGGGAACUGAAACAUCUUAGUACCUGUAGGAAAAGAAAAUAAUAAUGAUUCCCCUAGUAGUGGCGAGCGAACGGGGAUUAGCCCAAACCAAUGUUGUUACGGCAAUAUUGGGGUUGUAGGACCACGAUGUCGCAAGAAAUUUAGUGAGAAGAACCCUUUGGAAAAUGGGACCAUAGACGGUGAUAGUCCGGUAUUCGAAGCUAAAUGAAGCGUAGUGGUAUCCUGAGUAGCGCGGGACACGAGGAAUCUUGCGUGAAUCUGCCGGGACCAUCCGGUAAGGCUAAAUACUCCCGAGAGACCGAUAGCGAACCAGUACUGUGAAGGAAAGGUGAAAAGCACUUCGAAUAGAAGAGUGAAAUAGUCCCUGAAACCGUGCGCCUACAAGCGGUCGGAGCUGCUUCAGCAGUGACGGCGUGCCUUUUGCAUAAUGAACCUACGAGUUACUUUUUCCGGCAAGGUUAAGGAUCUUGAGAUCCGCAGCCGAAGCGAAAGCGAGUCUUAACAGGGCGAUUAGUCGGAAGGAGUAGACGCGAAACCAAGUGAUCUACCCUUGGUCAGGUUGAAGGUUAGGUAACACUAACUGGAGGACCGAACCGAUAAGCGUUGAAAAGCUUCCGGAUGAACUGAGGGUGGGGGUGAAAGGCUAAUCAAACUUGGAGAUAGCUCGUACUCCCCGAAAUGCAUUUAGGUGCAGCCUUGGGAAUUACUACUGUGAGGUAGAGCGACUGAUAAGAUGCGAGGGCUUCACCGCCUAUCAAGUCUUGAUAAACUCCGAAUGCGCAGUAGUUCGAUCCCAGGAGUGAGGGCAUGGGUGCUAAGGUCCAUGUCCUAAAGGAGAAGAAUCCGGACCAUCAGCUAAGGUCCCGAAAUAAUUGCUAAGUUGAACUAACGAAGUCAGAUUGCUAAGACAGCUAGGAUGUUGGCUUGGAAGCAGCCAUUCAUUUAAAGAGUGCGUAACAGCUCACUAGUCGAGGAGUUUGGCGUGGAUAAUAAUCGGGCAUUAAGCAAUUUACCGAAGCUAUGGGAUCAGUAAUGAUCGGUAGGGGAGCAUUCCACUCUGCGUCGAAGGUGAAGCGUGAGCUUUGCUGGAGCGUGUGGAAAAGCAAAUGUAGGUAUAAGUAACGAUAAAGGGGGUGAGAAACCCCCUCGCCGAAAGACUAAGGUUUCCUGAUCAACGCUAAUCGGAUCAGGGUUAGUCGGGUCCUAAGGCUCAGCCGAACGGUGAGUAGAUGGCAGAACAGGUUAAUAUUCCUGUACUACCUUAAGGAGUGACGUGGAGACGGGGCAGUGACAGCGCCGCGGACUGACGGAAUAGUCCGUUGAAGGGUGUAGAUGUUGAUCUUUGCAGGCAAAUCCACAAAGAGAGUCGAACCUGAUAGUAUGGAGCGUUCUUCGGAACAAUCCAAUAGUGCGUGUAAACAUACUCCCAAGAAAAUCCGCUAAACUUAAUCUUUAAGGUACCCGUACCGCAAACGGACACACGUAGUCGGGUUGAAUAUACUAAGGCGCUUGAGUGAUUCACGGUUAAGGAACUAGGCAAAUUGACCCUGUAACUUCGGGAUAAAGGGUCCCAACGAGAGUUGGGCGCAGAGAAUAGGUCCAGGCAACUGUUUAACAAAAACACAGGGCUGUGCCAAAUUGAAAGAUUACGUAUACAGCCUGACACCUGCCCGGUGCUGGAAGGUUAAGAGGAGAUGUCAUCGCAAGAGAAGCAUUGAAUUGAAGCCCCAGUAAACGGCGUAGUAACUAUAACGGUCCUAAGGUAGCGAAAUUCCUUGUCGGGUAAGUUCCGACCUGCACGAAUGGUGUAAUGAUCUGGACACUGUCUCAACCGUGAGCUCAGUGAAAUUGUAGUAUCGGUGAAGAUGCCGAUUACCCGCGAUGGGACGAAAAGACCCCGUGAACCUUUACUAUAGCUUAACAUUGAAUUUGGGUAAUUGAUGUGUAGGAUAGGCCGGAGACUUUGAAUCAGGUACGCCAGUAUUUGUGGAGUCGCUGUUGAAAUACGGCCCUUUGAUUAUUUGAGUUCUAACUCGUAGAUGCGAGGACACUGUUUGGUGGGUAGUUUGACUGGGGUGGUCGCCUCCAAAAGUGUAACGGAGGCUUCUAAAGGUGCCCUCAGGACGAUUGGUAACCGUCCGUAGAGUGUAAUGGCAUAAGGGCGCUUGACUGGGAGACAGACAAGUCGAUCAGGUAGGAAACUAGAGCAUAGUGAUCCGGUGUUUCCGUAUGGAAGGGACAUCGCUCAAAGGAUAAAAGGUACUCCGGGGAUAACAGGCUGAUCCCUCCCAAGAGCUCAUAUCGACGGAGGGGUUUGGCACCUCGAUGUCGGCUCGUCACAUCCUGGGGCUGGAGAAGGUCCCAAGGGUUGGGCUGUUCGCCCAUUAAAGUGGCACGCGAGCUGGGUUCAGAACGUCGUGAGACAGUUCGGUCUCUAUCUAUCGUGGGCGUAUGAAAUUUGCGUGGCUCUGACACUAGUACGAGAGGACCGUGUUGGACUGACCGCUGGUUUACCAGUUGUGCCGCCAGGUGCAUUGCUGGGUAUCUAAGUCGGGAUUGGAUAAGUGCUGAAAGCAUCUAAGUACGAAGCCAGCCACAAGAUUAGAUUUCUUAGGGUCGUCAAAGACGAUGACGUUGAUAGGAUGCAGGUGUAAAGGUGGUAACAUCAAAGCCGAGCAUUACUAAUUGCCCGUUCACUUUCUUUC